rnacentral:rRNA from 1 species
UACGUAGGGUGCAAGCGUUGUCCGGAAUUAUUGGGCGUAAAGAGCGCGUAGGCGGUCCGAUAAGUCGGCUGUGAAAGUCAGGGGCUCAACCCUUGAAAGCCGGCCGAUACUGUCGGACUAGAGUCCGGAAGAGGCAAGUGGAAUUCCCGGUGUAGCGGUGAAAUGCGUAGAUAUCUGGAGGAACACCGGUGGCGAAGGCGGCAUCCUGGACCGGCAUUGACGCUGAGGCGCGAAAGCUAGGGGAGCAAACGGG